rnacentral:rRNA from 1 species
AGAGAUGUGUGAUGACGCAUAUCAAUAAGCGGAGGAAAAGAAACUAACAAGGAUUCCCUUAGUAACGGUGAGUGAAGCGGGAAGAGCUCAAAUUUGAAAUCUUCAAGGUUCUACCUUGACGAAUUGUAGUUUAUAGAAGUGUUUUCUGUUAGUGGAGUGGCAAAAGUUCUUUGGAAUAGGACAUCAUAGAGGGUGAGAAUCCCGUAUUUGGUCAUUCCUUCUAGCGUUGUGAUACACUUUCAAAGAGUCGGAUUGUUUGGGAAUGCAGUCCAAAAUGGGUGGUAAAUUUCAUCUAAAGCUAAAUAUUGGCGAGAGACCGAUAGCGAACAAGUACCGUGAGGGAAAGAUGAAAAGAACUUUGAAAAGAGAGUUAAACAGUACGUGAAAUUGUCAAAAGGGAAGCGUUUGACACCAGUGUUGUUUUUCCGAAAAUCAAUUACGAAUGUUUUAGUUUUUGAGGAGUUAUGACUUCAUCGGCUUGCUCCUUUCUUUAUCGAAACUUUCUUAAUGCACUUUUCGGAUUAACAAGUCAACAUCAAUUUCUUUUGUUGUAAAAGGGUAUGAGGAAGGUGGCUCUCUUUUCGGAGAAAGUGUUUAUAGCCUUGUGCCUCUGCAAUCGGAGAGAUUGAGGUCUGCAGCGUAGAUCCUUCGGGGUUAGAUACAUUUGUGCUAAGUUAUAGCUUUUCAUAGACAACUUGUUGACUAUGUUUAGUCUUGUAGCUUACUCGCUUAUGCUAUUUUACCUACGCUUAGGAUGUUGAACUCUAUCACACACAG